rnacentral:rRNA from 1 species
CGGACGGGUGAGUAACGCGUGAGAAUCUGGCUUUAGGUCUGGGACAACCACUGGAAACGGUGGCUAAUACCGGAUGUGCCUGUAAUUGGGUGAAAGGUUAACUGCCUGAAGAUGAGCUCGCGUCUGAUUAGCUAGUUGGAAGUGUAAUGGACUCCCAAGGCGACGAUCAGUAGCUGGUCUGAGAGGACGAUCAGCCACACUGGGACUGAGACACGGCCCAGACUCCUACGGGAGGCAGCAGUGGGGAAUUUUCCGCAAUGGGCGAAAGCCUGACGGAGCAAUACCGCGUGAGGGAGGAAGGCUCUUGGGUCGUAAACCUCUUUUCUCAGGGAAGAACACAAUGACGGUACCUGAGGAAUAAGCAUCGGCUAACUCCGUGCCAGCAGCCGCGGUAAUACGGAGGAUGCAAGCGUUAUCCGGAAUGAUUGGGCGUAAAGCGUCCGCAGGUGGCAAUGUAAGUCUGCUGUUAAAGAGUCUAGCUCAACUAGAUACAAGCAGUGGAAACUACGUAGCUAGAGUACGUUCGGGGCAGAGGGAAUUCCUGGUGUAGCGGUGAAAUGCGUAGAGAUCAGGAAGAACACCAGUGGCGAAGGCGCUCUGCUAGGCCGUAACUGACACUGAGGGACGAAAGCUAGGGGAGCGAAUGGGAUUAGAUACCCCAGUAGUC